ACCCUCUCAGUGUCACACCUAGAGAGUUUUCAGUACUCUACCAGUCCAGGCUCUGGGAGGGAGAUCAAACAGAAGUAUACCCAUUCCAUUCCUAGCUUGGGCAGUGGCUAGCGAGUGGAAGGCAAUCUGCUACAAGU